ACGGAAGGCAGCAGUGGGGAAUAUUGCACAAUGGGCGAAAGCCUGAUGCAGCGACGCCGCGUGAGUGAAGAAGUAUCUCGGUAUGUAAAGCUCUAUCAGCAGGGAAGAAAAUGACGGUACCUGAUUAAGAAGCCCCGGCUAACUACGUGCCAGCAGCCGCGGUAAUACGUAGGGGGCAAGCGUUAUCCGGAUUUACUGGGUGUAAAGGGAGCGUAGACGGUUUGGCAAGUCUGAAGUGAAAUGCGGGGGCUCAACUCCUGAACUGCUUUGGAAACUGUCGAACUAGAGUGCAGGAGAGGUAAGUGGAAUUCCUAGUGUAGCGGUGAAAUGCGUAGAUAUUAGGAGGAACACCAGUGGCGAAGGCGGCUUACUGGACUGUAACUGACGUUGAGGCUCGAAAGCGUGGGGAGCAAACAGGAUUAGAUACCCUGGUA
rnacentral:rRNA from 1 species